rnacentral:rRNA from 1 species
UACGUAGGCAGCGAGCGUUGUUCGGAAUUACUGGGCGUAAAGCGCGCGUAGGCGGAACGAUCAGUCCGGUCUGAAAGCCCCCGGCUCAACCGGGGAGGGUGGCUGGAAACUGUCGUUCUUGAGGGCGAGAGAGGAGGGUGGAAUUCCUGGUGUAGCGGUGAAAUGCGUAGAUAUCAGGAGGAACACCGGUGGUGUAGACGGCUUUCUGGACCGUAACUGACGCUGAGACACGAAAGCGUGGGGUAGCAAACAGG